rnacentral:rRNA from 1 species
CCUACGGGAGGCAGCAGUGGGGAAUAUUGCACAAUGGGGGAAACCCUGAUGCAGCGACGCCGCGUGAGCGAUGAAGUAUUUCGGUAUGUAAAGCUCUAUCAGCAGGGAAGAAAAUGACGGUACCUGACUAAGAAGCCCCGGCUAACUACGUGCCAGCAGCCGCGGUAAUACGUAGGGGGCAGGCGUUAUCCGGAUUUACUGGGUGUAAAGGGAGCGUAGACGGCGUGGCAAGCCAGAUGUGAAAGGCCGGGGCUCAACCCCGGGACUGCAUUUGGAACUGGGCUGCUAGAGUGCCGGAGAGGCAGGCGGAAUUCCUAGUGUAGCGGUGAAAUGCGUAGAUAUUAGGAGGAACACCGGUGGCGAAGGCGGCCUGCUGGAC